rnacentral:rRNA from 1 species
UACGUAGGGGGCGAGCGUUAUCCGGAUUCAUUGGGCGUAAAGCGCGCGUAGGCGGCCGCCUAAGCGGGACCUCUAACCCCGGGGCUCAACCCCGGGCCGGGUCCCGGACUGGGCGGCUCGAGUGCGGUAGAGGAGAGUGGAAUUCCAUGUGUAGCGGUGAAAUGCGUAGAUAUAUGGAGGAACACCGGUGGCGAAAGCGGCUCUCUGGCCUGUAACUGACACUGAGGCUCGAAAGCGUGGGGAGCAAACAGG